rnacentral:rRNA from 1 species
AGUGAACGCUGGCGGUAGGCCUAACACAUGCAAGUCGAACGGCAGCACAGUAAGAGCUUGCUCUUACGGGUGGCGAGUGGCGGACGGGUGAGGAAUACAUCGGAAUCUACUUUUUCGUGGGGGAUAACGUAGGGAAACUUACGCUAAUACCGCAUACGACCUACGGGUGAAAGCAGGGGAUCUUCGGACCUUGCGCGAUUGAAUGAGCCGAUGUCGGAUUAGCUAGUUGGCGGGGUAAAGGCCCACCAAGGCGACGAUCCGUAGCUGGUCUGAGAGGACGAUCAGCCACACUGGAACUGAGACACGGUCCAGACUCCUACGGGAGGCAGCAGUGGGGAAUAUUGGACAAUGGGCGCAAGCCUGAUCCAGCCAUACCGCGUGGGUGAAGAAGGCCUUCGGGUUGUAAAGCCCUUUUGUUGGGAAAGAAAAGCAGCAGGUUAAUACCCCGCUGUUCUGACGGUACCCAAAGAAUAAGCACCGGCUAACUUCG